rnacentral:rRNA from 1 species
GACGAACGCUGGCGGCGUGCCUAACACAUGCAAGUCGAACGGAGACGCUAUUUGGAAGUUUUCGGAUGGAAGAAUAAUGUCUUAGUGGCGGACGGGUGAGUAACGCGUGAGUAACCUGCCUUUCAGAGAGGAAUAACGUUUAGAAAUGAACGCUAAUACCACAUAAUGUGUAUAUAUCGCAUGGUAGAUACACCAAAAGGAGCAAUCCGCUGAGAGAUGGCCUCGCGUCCGAUUAGAUAGUUGGUGGGGUAAAGGCCUACCAAGUCGACGAUCGGUAGCCGGACUGAGAGGGUGAACGGCCACAUUGGGACUGAGACACGGCCCAGACUCCUACGGGAGGCAGCAGUGGGGAAUAUUGCACAAUGGGCGAAAGCCUGAUGCAGCAACGCCGCGUGAGGGAAGACGGUUUUCGGAUUGUAAACCUCUGUCUUUGGUGAAGAAAAAAAUGACGGUAACCAAGGAGGAAGCCACGGCUAACUACGUGCCAGCCGCCGCCGUAA